rnacentral:rRNA from 1 species
UACGUAGGUGGCGAGCGUUGUCCGGAUUUACUGGGCGUAAAGAGCGCGCAGGCGGCUGGUCAAGUCCGAUGUGAAAGCUCCCGGCUUAACUGGGAAAUUGCAUCGGAAACUGAUCGGCUGGAAGGUGGGAGAGGGUAGCGGAAUUCCCGGUGUAGUGGUGAAAUGCGUAGAUAUCGGGAGGAACACCAGUGGCGAAAGCGGCUCUCUGGGACGGUACUGACGCUGAGACGCGAAAGCGUGGGGAGCGAACAGG